rnacentral:hammerhead_ribozyme from 1 species
GUACGGAUGAAGAAUCCCAAACUAGGGCGAAACAGCUGUCCAGUAC